AAGCAUUCUUACUAUAGAUGGUGAGGCUUUAGAUGAAACAGUAGAUCAAGAAUCACAGAAUGGUGUGACCGUAACGCCAUGUCCUCCUACACCAGUGGCAUGAACGGAGGAAACUCCUGCAAAAGCCAGUUUAAAAGCCACCUAUUCCAUGUUCAGAAAGCGAACGAAAAAAUCUGCCCCCUCUGCAGCCCAAAAAGCUGCUUCUUCUAUUGAAGAAAAAUACAGAUUGGAAAUUCAAGUUUUAAAGAGUAAAGAGGAGAGGGACGUGGAAGAACACACGUUAAAGAUGAGGCUGCUGUCUGCGCAGAUCGAGUUUCAGGAGAAUUUAAACAGAAUCUUGUGCACUGAUCCCACCUCUUUAAACAUUUCAUUAAAUAAAUAAGUGUUUUAUUA